GGGGGAAAAUUAAUAAAAUAUAAAUAAUAAAAAAAUUUUUAAUAUUGGGGGGUAUUAAAGUAUUUUUUUAAAAAAAAAUAAAUUAUUUUAUAGUUAAUUAGUAUUGAAAAAGAAAUUUGAAAUAAAUGAAAAUAAAUUAAUAAAAAAGUAAUUUUAAUUUAAUGUAUCUUGUGUAUCAGAGUUUAUUAAAAAAUAUUUUUUAUAAAAAAAAAUCUCGAAUUUAAAAGAGUUAAUUAAUUAUAAAAGUUAAUGUAGAAAAAUUAUUUUAAAUAAUUAAUUUGAAAUGAAAUGUUAAUCGUUUUUAAAUAUAUCUAGUUAUUUUAGAAAAAAAUUUAAUUUAAAAUUUAAAAAAUUUUAUUAUUAAAUAAAUAAUUAAUAAUAAAAUAUUUAAAAUUAAAUAUAUUAAGGGAUAAGCUUUAAUAUAAAAAAUUAUAAUAAAUUUAAUUUAAAUAUAAAAUUUUUAAAAUUUAUAUUGUUUAAAAAUUAUAAUUUAUUAUAAAAAAUUUUAUAAAUAAUAAAAUUUAAUUUAAAAUUUAAUUUUAUAUAAAAUAAUAAUUUAAAAUAAAAAAAAAUUAAAAAUAAUGAUAAAAUUAGUAUAUUAAAUUAAAAAUAAAAUUUAAUUAAUUAAAAUUAAAUUAAAGGAAUUCGGCAAAAAUUUAUAUUCACUUGUUUAUCAAAAACAUGUCUUUUAGAAAAUAAUUUAAAGUCUAAUCUGCCCACUGAUAAAUAUAUUAAAGGGCUGCAGUAUAUUGACUGUACAAAGGUAGCAUAAUCAAUAGUCUUUUAAUUGAAGACUUGUAUGAAAGAUUUGAUGAGAUAUAAACUGUCUCUAGUUUAUAAAUAAAAUUUAAUUUUUUAGUUAAAAAGCUAAAAUAAAUUUAAAAGACGAGAAGACCCUAUAGAGUUUUAUAUUAUUUUUAUUUAAGAUUAUAUUUAUAAUUAAUAAUUAAAAAUAAAAAUAUUAUUUUAUUGGGGUGAUAGAAAAAUUUAUUUAACUUUUUUUAAUUUAAUUACAUUAAUAAGUGAAUAAUUGAUCCAUAAAUAAUGAUUAAAAGAAAAAAUUACCUUAGGGAUAACAGCGUAAUAUUUUUUUCUAGUACGAAUAGAAAAAAAAGUUUGCGACCUCGAUGUUGGAUUAAGAUAAAAUUUAAAUGCAAAAGUUUAAAAUUUUGAUCUGUUCGAUCAUUAAAAUCUUACAUGAUCUGAGCUCAAACCGGUGUGAGCCAGGUUGGUUUCUAUCUUUAAAAUAAUAUAAUAUUUUAGUACGAAAGGAUCAAAUAUUUUUAAUAAUUAAAAUUUAAUGAAUAUUAAUAAUUUAAUUUAA
rnacentral:rRNA from 1 species